rfam:Homo sapiens chromosome 5, GRCh38 reference primary assembly.
AUCCUUUUGUAGUUCAAGAGCAUAAUGAUCGGGCGUUCACAUGCGUGUGUCAGAUGUGCCACCCUCGAACCUUGUUAGGAUGUUGGCACAUUACCUGUCUGACA